CUGUAAUUUGAUUAUUAUUUUUAUUGGAUAUUGUAGGGAGGAAUGUGGAUGGUCGGAAUAUUAUGGUUUAGUUUGCAAAAUAUGGACCAAAUGCUGAGCGUAUACAUAAAGGAAAAAUUAUGGAAGCAGUUCCAAAGACAAGAGGAAGGUCAAGAAGUUGUAGCCCUCGACCUAGCAAAUGCAUGACGGAUGUAAUUCUGCGGUGAGACCAACAAGUAAGAGUAACAGGAUUUUAACUUUCUCUAUGGUCAACCUUGCAUAACGGAACUUGUAGUUUCCUACUCUGUGUUGUUUGCUAUGAAGAAGAGUGUACUGUAAUCAUGUGUGAACUGUGGAUAUUGUAGAUUUCAGAGUCAAAGUCAUCAGCCUGCAUUAACUUUAGCGUCCAAAUAUUAGAUGCUAAGUUGUUAAGAUUAAACCUCAA